rnacentral:rRNA from 1 species
AACGAACGCUGGCGGCAUGCCUAACACAUGCGAGUCGAACGAGACCUUCGGGUCUAGUGGCGCACGGGUGCGUAACGCGUGGGAACCUGCCCUUAGGCUCGGAAUAACUCCCCGAAAGGGGUGCUAAUACCGGAUAAUGUCUUCCGACCAAAGAUUUAUCGCCUUUGGAUGGGCCCGCGUUGGAUUAGCUAGUUGGUAGGGUAAAAGCCUACCAAGGCGACGAUCCAUAGCUGGUCUGAGAGGAUGAUCAGCCACACUGGGACUGAGACACGGCCCAGACUCCUGCGGGAGGCAGCAGUGGGGAAUAUUGGACAAUAGGCGAAAGCCUGAUGCAGCAAUGCCGCGUGAGUGAUGAAGGCCUUAGGGUUGUAAAGCUCUUUUACCCGGGAUGAUAAUGACAGUACCGGGAGAAUAAGCUCCGGCUAACUCCGUG